UAUAUAUUUGUUUAAAAAUAGCUCGUCACGAAAAAUAAAUUAAAAUAAUGAACUCAAUCAAUAUCUUGUUGUUAAAUUGAAAUACAUACAUAAAAACAAACUAUUUUCUUAAUAUACAGUAUCGAUGGUACUGGCAUCUAAAUUUCUUUUCUGACAAAGAAUUUCACACAUUCUGGAACCCUUUUUCGAUAUUCAAAUCGUUUCGAAGUUGAUGUGUAGAAGUAAUUUGCAUUGUAGGUCAGUAUAAUCAAAUCCUCCGAGUGAGUCCUAAAACGGGUCCACAAAAAAACUCAAAUCACUAAAAUUUCUAAAAAAUUUUUAAAAAAUUAAAAAAUACUUCCACUUCCACAUUUUACAAUUUCUAGUUUUAGUACUUAGUACUUCCCAAGCCUAUUUCAAAAUGUGUUGCGGAGGAUGCGGACCUUGCUGCGGAGGAUGCGGACCCUGUUGUUGUUGCCCAAGCAUCACAAUCUACACCUGCUGCACCAAGAUUUGCUAGUUUGCGCUCCUCUUGCUCUGCGCAUACGAGCCAGUGAUGGCUUGUCACGUCUGGUCAGAGGUGCCACGAAGCCUCUGCUCUUCGAUGGUCGUCGUUAAACUAGUGCCGUGUUUGUGAAAAUAAACAGCUAAUUUAAGCGUA